rnacentral:rRNA from 1 species
UACAGAGGGUGCGAGCGUUAAUCGGAAUUACUGGGCGUAAAGCGCGCGUAGGCGGCUUUGCAAGUCGGGUGUGAAAUCCCCAGGCUUAACCUGGGAAUUGCAUUUGUGACUGCACGGCUAGAGUGUGUCAGAGGGGGGUAGAAUUCCACGUGUAGCAGUGAAAUGCGUAGAGAUGUGGAGGAAUACCGAUGGCGAAGGCAGCCCCCUGGGAUAACACUGACGCUCAUGCACGAAAGCGUGGGGAGCAAACAGG